CCCUUAGACGUUCUGGGCCGCACGCGCGCUACACUGACCAGUGCAACAAGCAUCCGUCCUUGGCCGACAGGCUCGGGCAAUCUUUGAACGCUGGUCGUGAUGGGGAUAGACUUUUGCAAUUUUUGGUCUUCAACGAGGAAUUCCUAGUAAACGCAAGUCAUCAACUUGCAUUGAUUACGUCCCUGCCCUUUGUACACACCGCCCGUCGCACCUACCGAUUGAAUGGUCCGGUGAAGCCUCCGGAUUGGCGCGCACCUCGGUGCCGCCGAGAAGUUGGCUAAACCUUACCAUUUGGAGGAAGGUGAAGUCGUAACA
rnacentral:rRNA from 1 species